GUGUCAGCCGCCGCGGUAAUACAGAGGGUGCGAGCGUUAAUCGGAUUUACUGGGCGUAAAGCGUGCGUAGGCGGCUAAUUGAGUCGGAUGUGAAAUCCCCGAGCUUAACUUGGGAAUUGCAUUCGAUACUGGUUAGCUAGAGUGUGGGAGAGGAUGGUAGAAUUCCAGGUGUAGCGGUGAAAUGCGUAGAGAUCUGGAGGAAUACCGAUGGCGAAGGCAGCCAUCUGGCCUAACACUGACGCUGAGGUACGAAAGCAUGGGGAGCAAACAGGAUUAGAUACCCUCGUAGUCC
rnacentral:rRNA from 1 species